AUUGAACGCUGGCGGCAGGCCUAACACAUGCAAGUCGAACGAGUGGCGGAAGGGGGAGUAAAGUCUGGGAAACUGCCUGAUGGAGGGGGAUAAAUACUGGAAAAGGUAGCUAAUACCGCAUAACAUCGGAUGUGGCCAGAUGGGAUGAGCUAGUAGGUGGGGUAAAGGCGAACCUAGGCGACGAACCCUAGCUGGGCUGAGGGGAUGAACAGCCACACGGGAACUGCGACACGUUCCAUCCUCCUACGGGAGGCAGCAGUGGGUAAUAUUGCACAAUGGGCUCAAGCCUGAUGCAGCCAUGCCGCGUGUAUGAAGAAGGCCUUCGGGUUGUAAAGUACUUUCAGCGGGGAGGCGUUACCCGCAGAAUAAGCACCGGCUAACUCCGUGCCAGCCGCCGCGGUAAUAC
rnacentral:rRNA from 1 species